UCUCAAUCUCUAUCUCUCUCUCUCUCUCGGCCCGAUGGUUGUUUUAUAUAUAUAUAUAUAUAUCAGAUAUAUCUCUGAUCUAAUCUGUCUCCCUCACUCUCUCAUCUCAUCAGAUCAGUCUCAUCUCUGUCCCUCCCUCUCUCGCCCCGAUAGACUCACACUGUCUCACAGGUAGGAACCCUUUAAGUCCAACCCUUCCCACUCCCAUCAGACAUGAAAAAAUUCCCCAGGGAAAGCUUUGGUUUCUCCAAUUGAGAGAUAUGCAGUUGUUCCUGAUGACAACGUCAAAAGGAUAAAUUUUGCCGAGGGGAAGAUCUGAUUCUAGAAGUAAGGAAUUUGCAGCUUGAUUUUUGAAAUAGGCUCAAACUUGAGAUCUUAUUGGAAAUUUUUUAAUUUUUGUAAGAGCAUUUAAAUAUCCAAUGUGCUGAUUGGUGAAUUUUAGAUUUUAUUUUA